GGAAUACGCGCCAAGCGUGCAGACCACUACACCAUGACGGCACGCUAAGAAGGCGGGUAACCUGAUUCCGAAAAACUGGAGGCGUUCGUUAAGAAACGAAGUGGCUGCCCAUUUCUUUUGAGUUCGGAUGUGAGAAAAGACUCAUUUCUAUCCUGGUGGGAGCUGACGAAAGCAAAAGUGAAAUUAUAGAUCUGGUGACGUGAAAUUGGAAGAGAAGAAGAAGCUGCUGAGUAGAAGAAGUUUAAGGAUUUGAGAUACAGAUGAAUUUACUCCAUAGUAUAAGGAUAACUAAAGAUUUAGGAAAUAGGGAGUAGUAUUCAAGAUGAUAUAGCUAAUGAAGGACUACUUAAUCGUUUAUGGAAAGGCAGAAGAAGGAGGCGUCAAAGGAAAAAGAUUUUAAAGGGAAAAGGUAUAAGAUUGCAAAUAAAGAUUUCAAAGGAAAGGCAGAAGAAGGCGGCUUCAAAGGAAAAAUAUUUAAACGGAAAAAGUAUAAAAUAACAAAUAAAGGUUUUAAAAAGAAAAAGGAAAUUUUUCUGUAGAAGAUGGAAAGAAUGUGUUAACAAGUAUUUCAUAAAGAUGGAUUUCUUAUUCGCUAUAUUAAGUAAAAAGAUAAAGGAUAUAUAGGAAGAAAAUACACGUAAAAUGGAGGAAAGAAAUUAAGAUAGAAGAAAGGAAGAUUUAACGAAGAUUAAAUGAAAGGAAGAUUAAAGGAAAGAGAAGAACGAAGAAAAGAAGAAGAAAGAAAGAGAAGAACUUCUUGAAGAAGAACGAGGGAAUAAGUUUCAAACGUUUUUUACUAAGGACAAAUUUCGAUAUGUUAUAAAGAAUUACUUACAAAGAUACACUUCAUGAAGGACUAUAAAGUACUACUUUAAGAUUUUUAUUUUUAUUUUUUUUAUAUGGCACUAUAUGGCAAUGUAAAAACUAUUACUUGUUUUGUAAUGUAAAAACUAUUACAAUGUUUACUAUUACUUGUUAGAAUGUAAAAUUGAAUUUAUUAAUAAAUACUAGAUAAGGGUGGACGUGGGCAGAACCGAUUAACCGUAAUGGUAGAGGGAAAU